rnacentral:rRNA from 1 species
AACGCUGGCGGUGCGCCUAAUACAUGCAAGUCGAGCGAGACUACGAACGGAUUAUUCGUUUGUAUGACAGCGGCGGACGAGCGAGUAACACGUGAGAAUUUGCCCCGUACUCAGGGAUAACAGCUCGAAAGAGUUGCUAAUACCGGAUGCCCUCGCAAGAGGAAAGAUUUAUCGGUACGGGAGAAGCUCGCGGUCUAUCAGCUAGUUGGUGGGGUAAUGGCCCACCAAGGCAAUGACGGAUAGCUGGUGUGAGAGCAUGACCAGCCGCGAUGGAACUGAGACACGGUCCAUACUCCUACGGGAGGCAGCAGUAGGGAAUCUUCCGCAAUGGGCGAAAGCCUGACGGAGCGACACCGCGUGGAGGAUGACAGCCUAUGGGUUGUAAGCUCCUUUUAUGGGGGAAGAAAAUCUGACGGUACCCCAUGAAUAAGCCUCGGCUAAUUCUGUGCCAGCAGCCGCGGUAAGACAGAAGAGGCAAGCGUUACCCGGAAUUACUGGGCGUAAAGCGUCCGCAGGUGGUGUGGUAAGUCUGUCAUUAAAUGCCUGUGCUCAACAUAGGCGCUGUGAUGGAAACUAUCAUACUAGAGGAAAGGAGAGGUAUGCGGAAUAGUGCAAGUAGGGGUAAAAUCCGUAGAUAUGCACUGGAACACCAAAAGCGAAGGCAGCAUACUGGCCUUUUCCUGACACUCAGGGACGAAAGCGUGGGGAGCAAAACGGAUUAGAUACCCGUGUAGUCCACGCCGUAAACGAUGCAUGCUCGGUGUGGGGACCCUCGACCUGGUCCCCGUGCCCAAGGUAACCCGUUAAGCAUGCCGCCUGUGUAGUACGGCCGCAAGGCUAAAACACAAAGGAAUAGACGGGGGCCCACACAAGCGGUGGAUCGUGGGGUUUAAUUCGAUAAUAAGCGAGUAACCUUACCUAGACUUGACAUCCCUAUCAUACCCCUCAGAGAUGAGGGGGUCGGUUCGGCCGGAUAGGUGACAGGCGCUGCAUGGUUGUCGUCAGCUCGUGCCUUGAGGUGUUCGGUUAAGUCCGUUAACGAGCGCAACCCUGGUCGUGUGUUGUAUUUUCACGCGAGACUGCCGGUUUUAAGCCGGAGGAAGGUCAGGAUGACGUCAAAUCAGCAUGGCCCUUAUGUCUAGGGCUACACCCGCGAUACAAUGGCUGGUACAAACCGAAGCAAUACAGCGAUGUGGAGCCAAUCGGAACAAAACCAGUCUCAGUUCGGAUUGCAGUCUGAAACUCGACUGCAUGAAGCCGGAAUCGCUAGUAAACGUAUAUCAGUCACGGUACGUUGAAUAUGUUCCUGGGCCUUGUACUCACCGCCCGUCAAGGCAUGGAAGUUGGGAGCACCAGAAGUCCGUUCUAGCAGCGGCCCAAGGUGAG